GAGUUGUUAACUAAGUGGUAGAGUAACAAGGGAAUAUAGGGCUAUGGGCCCCCCCGCCUCGCACGGAUUGCAGGGCCCGGCUCUUAACUUGGUGUCGUAGGUUCGAUUCCUACACAACUCA